rnacentral:rRNA from 1 species
UACGUAGGGGGCAAGCGUUGUCCGGAAUCAUUGGGCGUAAAGAGCGUGUAGGCGGCUCGGUAAGUCCGCUCUGAAAGCCCGGGGCUCAACCCCGGGAGGCGGGCGGAUACUGUCGAGCUAGAGUCCGGAAGAGGCGAGUGGAAUUCCUGGUGUAGCGGUGAAAUGCGCAGAUAUCAGGAGGAACACCAAUGGCGAAGGCAGCUCGCUGGGACGGUACUGACGCUGAGACGCGAAAGCAUGGGUAGCAAACAGG